AUGAUCCCAAACCUGGGCAUUCCUAGCCUUACAGAGAGUGAGUUCAGAAAUUGGCACUCAUACUGGAACAGAAAGAGAGAGAGCAAGAGAGAAGUUGCAAACAAACACCCUGAAGAAGUGACAACACAGCAACUAUGGGUGGACGAGUUGAGCCUAGAGCUGCUGGAUGAACACGUACAUACCAUCAUCCAGGAUAUCCCCAUUCCCACCCCCUACUCUUGUCUAUGUCAUGUUCUGAGGAACCAUCCCAACCCUUUUUGCAUAAACAGGGCUCCAGCAAGGACCCAGUGCUCUGGCCAUCACCUGCACUGUGAAAUACUGGUUGGGGUCUUGCUGCACCCCAGGGUUUCAAAGGUGCUGUCUCUGCCCUGGGGCAGGUGAUUAGCCUAAUCUCCUGAGAAGUCAGGAAUUAUCUCUGAAAAUCAAAUUUAAAAAAAAGAAUUUUAGAUACUUGUACCAAGAUUUCUCAAAAACUUUCUAUUCUUACCUGAUGAUUACACCAAAUGAUUCACUGACAUGGAUAAUAAUUUCAAAGCAAUGGAAGUGGACAUGAAUGGAUGCAAAUGGUGGAUUCAAAACGUCCUUCACAAAUUCAAUGCUGUUCCAAAAAUAUUUUUCACGGGAAAUUUUGUUGUAGGGUAAACAGCACCUAUAGGUUUCACAAAGAAAGGGCGUUGCUUAUUUUAAUUCAUCAGUGUUAUUAUUUGAGAAAAUAAAACAAAAGCCUCCAAAGGAAAACA
rnacentral:lncRNA from 1 species